rnacentral:rRNA from 1 species
AGGGAAUCUUCCACAAUGGGCGAAAGCCUGAUGGAGCAACGCCGCGUGAGUGAAGAAGGAUUUCGGUUCGUAAAACUCUGUUGUAAGGGAAGAACAAGUAGCGUAGUAACUGGCGCUACCUUGACGGUACCUUAUUAGAAAGCCACGGCUAACUACGUGCCAGCAGCCGCGGUAAUACGUAGGUGGCAAGCGUUGUCCGGAAUUAUUGGGCGUAAAGCGCGCGCAGGUGGUCCUUUAAGUCUGAUGUGAAAGCCCACGGCUCAACCGUGGAGGGUCAUUGGAAACUGGGGGACUUGAGUGCAGAAGAGGAUAGUGGAAUUCCAAGUGUAGCGGUGAAAUGCGUAGAGAUUUGGAGGAACACCAGUGGCGAAGGCGACUAUCUGGUCUGUAACUGACACUGAGGCGCGAAAGCGUGGGGAGCAAAC